rnacentral:rRNA from 1 species
GACGAACGCUGGCGGCGUGCUUAACACAUGCAAGUCGAACGGAAAGGCCUGCUUUCCCUUGUGGAUUGCGGGUACUCGAGUGGCGAACGGGUGAGUAACACGUGAGUGAUCUGCCCCCAACUUGGGUAUAAGCCUGGGAAACUGGGUCUAAUUCCCGAUAGGACUGCAGGGUGGUGCCUGUGGUGGAAAACGAUUUUCUAGUGGUUGGGGAUGAGCUCGCGGCCUAUCAGCUUGUUGGUGGGGUAAUGGCCUACCAAGGCGGCGACGGGUAGCCGGCCUGAGAGGGUGGACGGCCACAUUGGGACUGAGAUACGGCCCAGACUCCUACGGGAGGCAGCAGUGGGGAAUAUUGCACAAUGGGCGGAAGCCUGAUGCAGCGACGCCGCGUGGGGGAUGACGGCCUUCGGGUUGUAAACUCCUUUCGACCGAGAGGAAGCCACCUGGUUGGAAGGGUGGUGACGGUAGUGGUAGAAGAAGCACCGGCUAACUACGUG